GAAUAGGGCGGUACCUUGACGGUACCUAACCAGAAAGCCACGGCUAACUACGUGCCAGCAGCCGCGGUAAUACGUAGGUGGCAAGCGUUGUCCGGAAUUAUUGGGCGUAAAGCGCGCGCAGGCGGUUUCUUAAGUCUGAUGUGAAAGCCCCCGGCUCAACCGGGGAGGGUCAUUGGAAACUGGGGAACUUGAGUGCAGAAGAGGAGAGUGGAAUUCCACGUGUAGCGGUGAAAUGCGUAGAGAUGUGGAGGAACACCAGUGGCGAAGGCGACUCUCUGGUCUGUAACUGACGCUGAGGCGCGAAAGCGUGGGGAGCGAACAGGAUUAGAUACCCUGGUAGUCCACGCCGUAAACGAUAAGUGCUAAGU
rnacentral:rRNA from 1 species